rnacentral:rRNA from 1 species
AUACGGAAGGUGCAAGCGUUAAUCGGAAUCACUGGGCGUAAAGCGCAUGUAGGCGGACAUUUAAGUCAGGGGUGAAAUCCCGGGGCUCAACCUCGGAACUGCCUUUGAUACUGCAUUGCUUGAGUUCGGGAGAGGGUAGUGGAAUUCCAGGUGUAGGAGUGAAAUCCGUAGAGAUCUGGAGGAACACCAGUGGCGAAGGCGACUACCUGGACCGAUACUGACACUGAGGAGCGAAAGCGUGGGGAGC